rnacentral:rRNA from 1 species
ACGGGGUGCAGCAGGCGCGAAAACUUUGCAAUACACGAAAGUGUGACAGGGCUAUCCCGAGUGCCAUCCGCUGAGGAAGGCUUUUACCCAGUCUAGAAAGCUGGGAGAAUAAGGAGAGGGCAAGUCUGGUGUCAGCCGCCGCGGUAAUACCAGCUCUCCGAGCGGUGUGGAUGUUUAUUGGGCCUAAAGCAUCCGUAGCUGGCCAAGUUAGUCCCCUGUUAAAUCCACCGAAUUAAUCGUUGGAGUGCGGGGGAUACUGCUCGGCUAGGGGACGAGAGAGGCCGACGGUAUUUUCGGGGUAGGGGUGAAAUCCUAUAAUCCCGGGAAGACCACCAGUGGCGAAGGCUGUCGGCUAGAACGUGCUCGACGGUGAGGGAUGAAAGCUGGGGAGCGAACCGGAUUAGAUACCCGGGUAGUCCCAGCUGUAAACGAUGCAGGCUAGGUGUUUGGGCGGCCACGUGCCGCUCUAGUGCCGCAGGGAAGCUGUUAAGCCUGCCGCCUGGGGAGUACGGCCGCAAGGCUGAAACUUAAAGGAAUUGGCGGGGGAGCAC